rnacentral:lncRNA from 1 species
GGGAUGCCAUGGCUCUUCCUGAAAUCCUGAGAGCUUAUUCCUGCCCUUGAACUUCUAUUGGUUUUAUAGGAAAGGCUCUUGGAACCCCAGCACCUGAGCACAAUCCCAUUCUAAGAUUUCCUGAGUGGUAUCAUUUAAAUUUACAGAUGGAGUCUCACUCUGUUGCCCAGGCUGGAGUGCAGUGGCAUGAUCUCGGCUCACUGCAGCCUCCACCUCCCAGAGACUGAUAAAUGUCACCUGUUAUCACCCGUCUCUCCUUCCAAAGAAAGAGAACUCCCAACUUUUAACCUGGCACAUGAUUACCCAAAAUGAAGACUCCAUAUAUCAGCCAUGGCCAAGUUUCUGACCAAUGAGAUAAAUAAAACAGACACGACUGGAUGUGAAACAGUCAUUUGGACCAUGAAGUGACCUUGGAAAAGGAAGCCAGGACUGGUGUCCAUAUAAGAAGAUAGCCCUGUGAAGACACAGACUCAGAGAGAAUUCUAAUAUGGAGAUGGAAACAAAAUCUGUAGUCAUGCUGCUCCAAGCUAAGGAAUACCUGGGGCUACCAGAAGCUCGAAGAAGCAGGAGAAGUUCCUCCCUAGAGGCUUCAGAGAACAUGACAUCUGACACAUUGAUUUCAGUUGGCUGACCUUCAAAGCGAUGAGGUGAAUUUCUGUUGUUUUAAGCCACCCAGAGACAGCCCUAAGAAAUUAAUGCACAUGCUAAUACUAGUUUUCUCUAAGUUUCAUUGAGAAUAUUGAAAAAUAUAUAUUUAAAUAUCUGGAUCUUAUUGAGAAUACAAAGAAGACUUUCAUACGUUGGUAUUUCUGAAUCUUCAUUUAUAAAGUGUUAAAUAACUUAUGCCCAAAAGAAAAAAUCGGUCAGAAAUUACCUCAUAUCAGUAAGUUCUAUAGUAAAGGAAUAAAUGCAUCUAAGAAUGA